rnacentral:rRNA from 1 species
AACGAACGCUGGCGGCAUGCCUAACACAUGCAAGUCGAACGAGACCUGCGGGUCUAGUUGCGCAAGGGUGCGUAACGCGUGGGAAUCUGCCCUUCGGUUGGGAAUAACUGAGAGAAAUUUCAGCUAAUACCUUAUAAUGUCUUCGGACCAAAGAUUUAUCGCCGGGGGAUGAGCCCGCGUAGGAUUAGGUAGUUGGUGGGGUAAUGGCCUACCAAGCCGACGAUCCUUAGCUGGUCUGAGAGGAUGAUCAGCCACACUGGGACUGAGACACGGCCCAGACUCCUACGGGGGGCAGCAGUGGAGAAUAUUGGACAAUGGGCGAGAGCCUGAUCCAGCAAUGCCGCGUGAGUGAUGAAGGCCUUAGGGUUGUAAAGCUCUUUUACCCGGGAUGAUAAUGACAGUACCGGGAGAAUAAGCUCCGGCUAACUCCGUG